rnacentral:rRNA from 1 species
UCCUUUAACGAGGAACAACUGGAGGGCAAGUCUGGUGCCAGCAGCCGCGGUAACUCCAGCUCCAGAAGCGUAUAUUAAAGUUGUUGCAGUUAAAAAGCUCGUAGUUGGAUCUGGGUCGCAUGGCUACGGGCCGUAGCUUGUAAUCCUGGCUUGGCUACGGUUGGGUCGGGUUUGUGAGUCGGUUUCGUGGCUGUGUAGCCUUUCUGCUGUGUCUGUUUCGACAGGUGCCGAUGGUUUUACCGUUGGCAUGCUUCCUGAUGCCUUUAACCGGGUGUCGGAGGCGGACGGCAUGUUUACUUUGAACAAAUUUGAGUGCUCAAAGCAGGCUUAUGCCUGAAAAUUCUUGCAUGGAAUAAUGGAAUAGGACUUCGGUUCUAUUUUGUUGGUUUUCGGAUCCGAAGUAAUGGUUAAGAGGGACAGACGGGGGCAUUUGUAUGGCGGUGUUAGAGGUGAA